GCGUCUGUGACGUAGUUGGGAACGUACCGGCUCGCCAUGUCGGAAUCGCGGGUUCAAACCCCGCCAGACGCU
rnacentral:tRNA from 1 species